GCCUGGCUGGCUCAGUUAAUAGAGCAUGUGACUAUCAAUCUCAGGGUGGUGAGUUCAAGCCCCACGUUGAGCA
rnacentral:tRNA from 1 species